UGAAAAAAUCAGUAUUAUCCAUACAAACAAAUCAAAUUGGUAAUGGCAAAGAUUAAAAGUAAACCCAGUAAACCCAUACCCAACCCAAGACAAACAAAUAUUAAAGGUAAUAACUAAAGAAAGCUAUAUGUGUGAAUACAUGAACAAGUAUACAGUCAUGUUCCAGCUCAACAGGCUCUGGAUUGACAAUGCUCUUUUUCACAGCUAAAUGAUACAUACAUCAAAUCACAUAUUGAGGGGAAAAAAAGAGAGAAAACACAAGCAUCUGAGCCACAGUACAAAAAAGAGGUUGAUGGUCAAGUACAAAAGAGAGAAAACACAAAUUGCCAAAAGCAGUAGUACCUCUGCUCUCAAGAGAUUAGUCCAUGGUCGGCGGCGAAACUCACCAAAUCGACGGGAAAGAGGUUGAUGGUCGACGGUCGGCGGUCGGAGGUCGACGAGAAAAAGAUUGACGAUCGACGUGAAAGAGAAAGAGAGGCCAGGGGGAGGAAUCGGGAUUCGAGAGAGAGAAUAGGGGUUCGGGGGGGAAUCGGGUUCAGGAGAGGAGAUUUCAGAAUGUGGAGAACGGGAUGAAUGAAGGGGUUCAGCGAAAUCGAUUGAUGGGGUUAGGCUGCUGCCUGCUGGGUUGGGUUAACAUGUUUAAACCGGUUUUUCG
rnacentral:lncRNA from 1 species